AUUUAUUAAAAAGAAAAAUCCAUUAUAAAAUACUAUUAAAAUCCCUGGUUUUUACACCUUCCUUUGUGAACAAAUUUCAAAUCUUUCUUGGUUAUUUGAUGGCAUUCGAAAACACAAUUGUUGGGAAAAGUCUCUCCAUUUGAAGCACAAACAGGGUCAUAAAUAUAUUCGCAAAAACAAAGUACGUCUUCCCCUUUAUCUUGAGCCCGUGUAAUGGGAGAGAUUAAAUGUCCAGCAAACGACGGCAAUGUUGCCAGAUUCCUUUUAGCGGGAAUUUUAAAAUUUUAUAAGAGUUUGGUUUUAAAUUUGACAGUUCUGUUUUCUUAAGUCAAAAAUCUUAACCUUACUUUUACAAGUGAUUAGGAUUAUUAUUAUUAUUUUAUUUACAUGUAAAUUGAAACAAUAAAUAUUGUGGCUGUGUCAUAAUUUCAAACUCAUUAUGUUGCAGUCUUUUCCAGUUGAUAAAAUUGCAAUUCAAAAACUUUUAGGUAGAUUUGCACUGUAUGGAUGGCACAGGAAGAGAAACAAGAGUACAAGAACAUGAAACAUCCUAUUAUAAAUGUAUAUGUAUGUGAUCUUAAAAAAAUUAUUUUACAAAACAAGAUAGAGAAAGAGCUUUAAAAUCCCACGGAUCCUGCAAAAUGUUUAUUUGGUGUACUAGUCGAAUAAUAGUAUCUAAAAAUAUUGAAACUAUUUUAUGGGCAUGAGGAUGAUAUAGAGCACUUACAUAAAUACCAAAAUCAGAUAAAUAUCUCUUCAAAGUUUAUUUUGAGACUUUCUUCAAAAAUUAAACUUCAGACUGUACAGGAUAGCAUAAUAGCAUAGGAGGCGAAUUAAAAAGAAUUGAUUUACUUACAAGAAAAGAUAUCACAAACAUUAAACUCUCUUAUGGCAUUGAUUUGAAAGAUGGGUAUAUGUACAAUGAUGAUGCAACCAGUGUUUAUUUUUGGGUUGAAUGCUUACAGACUCAUGUCCAAUAUUAUUUUACAAACAACAGGGCAUACUAAUGGAUAUUCAUUAUGAAUUUAACAUUUAUGAUUUUUGUCUUAUGUUCCUUAAUACUGUGCCAAAAGUUUGGUAAAUCCUUUAUCGCAAUCGAUGGAACUCAUGGGCUCAAUUCCUAUGACUUUGAACUUAUGACAGUAUUAGUAAAAGAUGAAUUUGGGAAUGGAUUUUGUACUGCUUUCUUAUUUUCAAAUAGAAAAGAUACCUACUUUAAUUUACCAAUUUUUUUAAAUACAUGUCUGUGUUGGUAUUAUAUGUAAGAAAAGAUACCUACUUUAAUUUACCAUUUUUUUUAAUACAUGUCUGUGUUGGUAUUAUAUGUAUAGUCAAAUGUUUUCAUAUCAGGCAUAAGCGACACCUUUUACAAUGCCUCGUCAAAUGUAAUGGGUAUUGCUCCUAAUAGACUGUUAAGUGCCUGGCACAUAAAUAGGGCAUGGUAAGUAAAUCUUAAUAAAAUAUCUGAUUCUGAAAAAAAUCCUAUUAUGUAUACAAGAUGUAUUAAUGAUGGUUUAGAGAGUAUUAAUAGCUUUUUGGGUAGACUUCUAAGUGAUGCAGAUACAUACAAUUUUAGUAAGUAUUUCCCAUAGAACUACUGCAAUAACAUCCAACAAUGGGCCUAUUGUUAUAGGAAGGGGUUGUGGAAUUAAUACCAAUAUGACCAUUCAAAAUUUUCAUAAAAUUUUGGAUAAAAGGGUAUCCAUUAGUUGUUAUCAGUUAAGUUUAAAACUUGGCACUCAUGGAGAGCUAUACCAUAAUAUAUAAUAGGUAUAUCUCAUAAUAUUACAUCUCAUAUUGUUCACUACAGUAGUAAUGAGUGAGCCUGCAUACACAGAACCAUAAUAAUAUAUUAUAGUUCGUGUAUGCAGGCUCACUCAUUACAAUAGUGAGCAAUAUGAGAUAUAACAUAUUAUAGUAUAAGUCUCUGUGCAUGACCAGAUUAACAUGUUUGGUGCCCAUCUCGAACAAGCUCCACUUGGCUGGUACCACAUACUUAAAUCAUUUAUUUAGUUACACAGUACUACUCACAUAACUUAUGUGUCAUCAGUACCUUCCGUAAAACCUUCGUGAUGCUACCCAUACGUCAUGGCCACUGAAUGUGGUAAAGCUUGUUAAUGUAGGAGAGUUAUACUAAAAAAUAUAUCUUAUAUUAUAUUGCCUUCAAUAGAAAAAAUAUCUUAUUUAAAUUGUAUCCAUGUAAGUUUUGAUUUAAUGAAAUAAACCUUUUAAUCAAAAAAGUGUUGUUUACUUGUGUACACCUAGCAAUAUCCUGAUCAUAGAUAAAUAAUAUAGUAUUACCGGAUCCUGAUAUGCAGACGCCAAUAGGGCUUUUCAUCGAUUGUCAUUUGUUUCGAGCUUCUGUCAUGAGUCA